AAGAGUUACUCCUUUCAAACCAAAGCUUUGCAAAAUAAGCAGCUUGCUCUAUGAAGGCGGGUUGCACAUCCUAUAACAUUUGGCAGAUCUGACUUCUUUUUAAGCAAAAGCACAGUUCAGCUGUUUCUGAGAAUGCCACUAGGAUAAAUAUGAUGGUUUUGAUUUGGGAAUCUUCAAACCUGGACACAGGCAUGGGCGAACUGGGCAGCUGCCCAGGGCCCAGACAGAAAGGGGGCACAAAAUGGAGGGAAUGACGGCUGACCAGGGGAGAUGAGAAGGCAGGAUUGGAAUAGAGAUAACUUGGAAGGGAUGCAGCAGAAGAGGUCAGGCUUGAGAAAAAUGGCCUGAAGAGUCUGUGCCCAUUGCUACACCCAUCCAAAGCCUGGAAUGGACCCACGAUUCCUAACUCUCAUCAUUCCUCUGCUGUCAGCAGAUAGCUGUGAAACCUUCUGGUAAAGCAUUUCAUCCCCCUAGUGCUAGACCACAUAAAGAA